rnacentral:rRNA from 1 species
UACAGAGGGUGCGAGCGUUGUCCGGAAUCACUGGGCGUAAAGGGCGCGUAGGCGGCUCAGUAAGCGUGCGGUGAAAGCCCGGGGCUCAACCCCGGGUCGGCCGUGCGAACUGCAGAGCUGGAGCACUGUAGAGGCAGGUGGAAUUCCGGGUGUAGCGGUGGAAUGCGUAGAGAUCCGGAAGAACACCGGUGGCGAAGGCGGCCUGCUGGGCAGUGGC